AUUGCAAAUAUGCCCUCCAGAAUUUUUUUUUUGAGUGGCAAUUUGAGAGACUUCUAAAUGCUCACUUACCAUUGGAAUUCAUCUGUUUCUUCUUUAUAUUGUUUCUAAUAAAUAUUGUCCAAUACACACCAGUUCCAAUAUAUAUUGUUUCAUGUAUAUACAUUUCCAAUACACAUUAUUUCCAAUAUAUAUUGUUUCUUAUAUAUAUUAUUUCCAAAUGAAUACACAAACAAAAUACAAAACUCUCAUUUCUAAAUGAACUACAGGGACUUGAUUAUGGCAUUAUUCAAUGACUUGAGUAAUUCCUCUCUCAAAGCUACCACCUCAAAGCCACCACCUCCACCUCAAAGUGAUUUCUCUUUUAGCUGAGGUUCCAGAUCACUUAAUUUUUUUCCUCAGGUAUGUUUUGGUAGAAUCAUAGCAAAUGAUUCUACAUCUCAACUUCCUUGUGAACAGCUUGAAAAGAGUUCACAUUUUAUUCAUCUCCGAGAUAUUAAUUGCAAAUGAUUUUCACAAUAUUUCUUUUUGAAACUCAACAACAUGUUCAAAGUUGUUGCGCAUUGAGAUGAAACCUAGGCUUAUGGGUUCUUUUUGCUUAAAUAAGGUCAGGAAAAACAGAUCUAUGACCAAAGGACUCUUUGGAUAGAUCUAUUUUUAGUUAAUCAUUAACAUCAUAAUUGCUCCCUCUCUCAUCAGCUAUUGCCUCAUGCACAAAUGCAGAGAAAUUUCUGGACAACUGCCUUUGUUUUAACUGAGUAAGGAAAAAGGGAAAAACAAAACGCAAAACAAAGGGGAGAGAUUGCCAGAGCCCUGCUAAAGUCCAGGCCCUGGCAAGCUACGGAUGUGCUGAUCACACAAAACCUCUUAAGCUGCCUACAAAGGCCUCCAAGGUGAGUCAGCUGAAAGGGACUAAUCUCCAGAAAGGACUGAUCACUGAAGCUUUACAGACCACACAGCUAUUGAACAGUAGAAAACAGGACAAUGAAAGCUUAAAGUGAUGUGCACAGAAAGGUCACAGAAUCGACAGGACAUGGUGGCCAGCCCAGGCUGGAGUUCCAACAGUAAUUUUUGAUGCACCUGAGAACCAGCAGCUCCACUGACAACUAUGACGAUGAAAACCAUACACUCAGUUGCUAAAACAGAAAGUCUGAGAACUUCCAUAGCAGUCGGGCCAAGAUGGGCCAACUAUGAGGUGCUGAAAACCGCUGGGUGACCAUUUGAGUGGACUUCACAGUCUGGAGGGGGAUGUACAGAACAUGAAAGCAAGUAUAUGUGAAAGCUAUGUGAGGAUACAGUGAAAAUUGGCAGUCUACAAUUCAGAAGAAGGACCUCUCCAAACCUAGACCAAGUUGGCACCCUGAUCUCAGACUUCCAGCUUCCAGGACUGUGAGGAAUAAGCUCCUGUUAUGCAUGGGUCACCCGAUCUAUGCUACUUUGAAUAGCAGCCCAACCAAAAUGGCAUCCUGUCACUUUUGCUGUGAUCUGAAACUAUCACUGCAAGCUGUUGUGGAUACCCCAGUGAGCAGGCCAAGAUGAGCCACUUAGGUCUGACUCUAAUUGCAGUGUUAUGAUUUAUAUCUGGAUGACCUCCAAAGCCUCGUGGGCUCAUAGGCAGGGCUUUGGGGAAGUGAUUGGAUCAUGUUGGCACUAUACUCACUGGUGGAUUAAUCCACUGAUGAGUUUAUAGAUAAAUGUGCCACUAGUAGGUGGGGCCUGGUCAGAAGAGGGAGGGCACUGGGGGCAUGACCUGAAGGGUGUGUCUUCCUCCCCGGCUCUCUCCCUCCCUGGCUCCUCCCUUCCUGCUCUUCUUCCCGGCUGCCAUGAGGUGAGCUGCAUUCCUUUCUCACACACCUGUGUCAUGCUGUUCUGCCUUGGAGCCAGCCAACUGGAUUGAAAUGUGAGACAAAAUAAAUCUGACCUCCUUUAAGUUUCAGGUGUCAGAAUUUUGUCCCGGCAACAAGAAAAUGACCAAGGCACAGAGGAAAGCCAUUGGAAGGUUUUAUGCCAUAGGAUGACAAUAUAUGAAUUUCCUUCCAUUUCAACCCCCUCAUGGUACAAAAUGAAAAGUGGCCCAGAGGGGAAGUAACUUUUCAGAUUGGUAGAACCUAGGCAGGUUUAAAGUUGCUUACUGUGCUGUGUCCUACCCAUCGUAUGGUUCUUCUAGCUCUAAAUCUGUGCAUUUGUUUCCUGUGACACCAAUCCAUGGAUUUGUAAGUACCAUCUCAUUUAUACUUGGUGAUAUCCCCAGGAAGCCACUGUUAGUGUGAUCCCCAUUGUGCAGGUUAGGAGACCAGGAAGGCCUUGAGAGGCAAUGGGCUGAUAAGAAAAAAGGAGGCUCCAAAGCAGCUCUGUCUGCUCAAGCCUAGGCCCUGGAUGUAUUUAGGUCUCUCACUGAUGUAUUUAGGUGAAACUGUGUAGGUGGGAGAUGGCACUGAGAGGAGGGUAAGCAGUUGCAGGUCACAGAGGGUCUUGUUGAAGGAAGGGACCUAGGUGACGGGACCUUGAAAACACUAUCUCACUUCCUUGGUGAUAGAUCCCCAAAGAACUUAGAGUUCUGGUAACCAGGCACCCACAUUUCAGAGACAGCUCACCAUGCAGCUUGCUUGGCUAAAGAUCUUCAAGAGAGCAAAAUGUUUUCCUGUUGUGGCCUUAUGUUCUGAGGCUCUAGCCCCACGAACAAGUGAGAACUUUUUCAUGGCUUGCAGAGAUUGGUUUAGCCCACACCCCUAAAGUCUCUGGCCAUUUGGCACAAGGUAUCUGAAGGCAACACAGGACAGCCCUGGGGAGGUUCAUCCAGGCCAGGCCAGAACUGGCCUUCUCCCUGGGCAGCCCCCUCACUCCACCCUCUCUUGUGUGUGUGUGUGUGUGUAGGUGGGAGGGUGGCAAGGGAUGAGGACUGAGUCCUCCUUAGGCAGAGGAGGUUGUGAAACAUUGGAACGCUGGUGGGCUUGUUAUGAUUCAGGUUAUAGCUAGAAGGAUGGAAGGUGAGCGCUGGGUAGAGUGCAUCCCUCUGGAUUUCAGUCGUGAGCCCGCAAACCUUCAUGUCAUUUCUUCUCUCCCUGAAGCCCAUGCAGAUACUCCUCUGUGCCUGAUCUGGGGGGCAGAAUUCCAAAUGGGGUAUUCUCUAGCAAUGGCCAGGCAGACCUCUCACACCUCAUAGCCGAGCUCCAGGAAACUGCCUUUUCAUAGCUCCACUUGGAGGAAGUGAAAAAUGAAAUGUCAGGCAGGCCUUUAGGGAGUUAUUUCUUUGAAGCUCUGGUACCUUUUUUUUUUUAAUUUUUGAUACUGGGGAUUGAACUGAGGACCUUGGACUUGCGAGGCAGCUCUGGCAUCUAUUUUAAGUGACCCAUUCCUAGUACCUGCCUUCUGUGCUGACCAUGUGGACAUCACCUUUCAUGUCUGUUUUCCUCACUGGAAGUGAGUUCCAUG